UAAGGAAUAUUGGUCAAUGGGCGGAAGCCUGAACCAGCCAUGCCGCGUGCAGGAAGACGGCCCUACGGGUUGUAAACUGCUUUUGCAGGGGAAUAAACCUCGUUACGUGUAACGAGCUGAAUGUACUCUGAGAAUAAGGAUCGGCUAACUCCGUG
rnacentral:rRNA from 1 species